UACGGAGGGAGCAAGCGUUACUCGGAAUUAUUGGGCGUAAAGGGCGCGUAGGCGAUUUGAAAAGUCUUGUGUGAAAGCCCCGAGCUUAACUCGGGAAGUGCACAAGAAACUGUUGAAUUUGAGUUCCGGAGAGGAAGGCAGAAUUCCCGGUGUAGCGGUGAAAUGCGUAGAUAUCGGGAGGAAUACCAGUGGCGAAGGCGGCUCACUGGCCCGGUACUGACGCUGAGGUGCGAAAACGUGGGGAGCAAACAGG
rnacentral:rRNA from 1 species